UUGCCUCGGAUCAGGUAGGAAUACCCGCUGAACUUAAGCAUAUAUAG
rnacentral:rRNA from 1 species